rnacentral:rRNA from 1 species
CCAGUAUGUGUGGAGCCGUCCUUGAAAUACCACCCUUGUAGUGUUGAUGUUCUAACGUCGACCCCUUAUCGGGGUUGCGGACAGUGCCUGGUGGGUAGUUUGACUGGGGCGGUCUCCUCCCAAAGAGUAACGGAGGAGCACGAAGGUGGGCUAAUCACGGUUGGACAUCGUGAGGUUAGUGCAAUGGCAUAAGCCCGCUUGACUGCGAGAAUGACAAUUCGAGCAGGUGCGAAAGCAGGUCAUAGUGAUCCGGUGGUUCUGAAUGGAAGGGCCAUCGCUCAACGGAUAAAAGGUACUCCGGGGAUAACAGGCUGAUACCGCCCAAGAGUUCAUAUCGACGGCGGUGUUUGGCACCUCGAUGUCGGCUCAUCACAUCCUGGGGCUGAAGUCGGUCCCAAGGGUAUGGCUGUUCGCCAUUUAAAGUGGUACGCGAGCUGGGUUUAGAACGUCGUGAGACAGUUCGGUCCCUAUCUGCCGUGGGCGUUGGAAGAUUGAAGGGGGCUGCUCCUAGUACGAGAGGACCGGAGUGGACGAACCUCUGGUGUUCGGGUUGUGUCGCCAGACGCAUUGCCCGGUAGCUAAGUUCGGAAUCGAUAACCGCUGAAAGCAUCUAAGCGGGAAGCGAGCCCUGAGAUGAGUCUUCCCUGAUACUUUAAGUAUCCUAAAGGGUUGUCGGAGACUACGACGUUGAUAGGUCAGGUGUGUAAGUGCUGUGAGGCAUUGAGCUAACUGAUACUAAUUGCCCGUGAGGCUUAACCAUACAACACCCAAGGGGUUU